rnacentral:rRNA from 1 species
AUUGAACGCUGGCGGCAGGCCUAACACAUGCAAGUCGAGCGGUAGCACAGAGAGCUUGCUCUCGGGUGACGAGCGGCGGACGGGUGAGUAAUGUCUGGGAAACUGCCUGAUGGAGGGGGAUAACUACUGGAAACGGUAGCUAAUACCGCAUAACGUCGCAAGACCAAAGUGGGGGACCUUCGGGCCUCAUGCCAUCAGAUGUGCCCAGAUGGGAUUAGCUAGUAGGUGGGGUAACGGCUCACCUAGGCGACGAUCCCUAGCUGGUCUGAGAGGAUGACCAGCCACACUGGAACUGAGACACGGUCCAGACUCCUACGGGAGGCAGCAGUGGGGAAUAUUGCACAAUGGGCGCAAGCCUGAUGCAGCCAUGCCGCGUGUGUGAAGAAGGCCUUCGGGUUGUAAAGCACUUUCAGCGGGGAGGAAGGCGAUAAGGUUAAUAACCUUGGCGAUUGACGUUACCCGCAGAAGAAGCACCGGCUAACUCCGUGCCAGCAGCCGCGGUAAUACGGAGGGUGCAAGCGUUAAUCGGAAUUACUGGGCGUAAAGCGCACGCAGGCGGUCUGUCAAGUCGGAUGUGAAAUCCCCGGGCUCAACCUGGGAACUGCAUUCGAAACUGGCAGGCUAGAGUCUUGUAGAGGGGGGUAGAAUUCCAGGUGUAGCGGUGAAAUGCGUAGAGAUCUGGAGGAAUACCGGUGGCGAAGGCGGCCCCCUGGACAAAGACUGACGCUCAGGUGCGAAAGCGUGGGGAGCAAACAGGAUUAGAUACCCUGGUAGUCCACGCCGUAAACGAUGUCGAUUUGGAGGUUGUGCCCUUGAGGCGUGGCUUCCGGAGCUAACGCGUUAAAUCGACCGCCUGGGGAGUACGGCCGCAAGGUUAAAACUCAAAUGAAUUGACGGGGGCCCGCACAAGCGGUGGAGCAUGUGGUUUAAUUCGAUGCAACGCGAAGAACCUUACCUGGUCUUGACAUCCACAGAACUUAGCAGAGAUGCUUUGGUGCCUUCGGGAACUGUGAGACAGGUGCUGCAUGGCUGUCGUCAGCUCGUGUUGUGAAAUGUUGGGUUAAGUCCCGCAACGAGCGCAACCCUUAUCCUUUGUUGCCAGCGGUCCGGCCGGGAACUCAAAGGAGACUGCCAGUGAUAAACUGGAGGAAGGUGGGGAUGACGUCAAGUCAUCAUGGCCCUUACGACCAGGGCUACACACGUGCUACAAUGGCAUAUACAAAGAGAAGCGACCUCGCGAGAGCAAGCGGACCUCAUAAAGUAUGUCGUAGUCCGGAUUGGAGUCUGCAACUCGACUCCAUGAAGUCGGAAUCGCUAGUAAUCGUAGAUCAGAAUGCUACGGUGAAUACGUUCCCGGGCCUUGUACACACCGCCCGUCACACCAUGGGAGUGGGUUGCAAAAGAAGUAGGUAGCUUAACCUUCGGGAGGGCGCUUACCACUUUGUGAUUCAUGACUGGGGUG